UACCUACGGGACGCAGCAGUGAGGAAUAUUGGUCAAUGGGCGGGAGCCUGAACCAGCCAAGUCGCGUGAGGGAAGAAGGUACUGAGUAUUGUAAACCUCUUUUGCCAGGGGACAAAGGCGGCCACGGGUGGCCGUAAGAGGGUACCUGGAGAAAAAGCAUCGGCUAACUCCGUGCCAGCAGCCGCGGUAAUACGGAGGAUGCGAGCGUUAUCCGGAUUUAUUGGGUUUAAAGGGUGCGCAGGCGGCGUGUCAAGUCAGCGGUAAAAUGUCGGGGCUCAACCACGGCCGGCCGUUGGGACGGGAGG
rnacentral:rRNA from 1 species